GUCAAUUUUUGUCAGAAGAAAAUCGAUAUUGUGAUCCUAAAACAAACAUAAGUGAUAUUUCCAGGUAAUUUCCCAAACAUGGGUGACUAUCCAAGGAAAUUACUCUAAAAAUAUGUAAUAGAAGUUGAUAGAGAAUCUUUUAUCUUUUAAAGUAGGUAGUCAAGACGAACUUUUGGAUUAUGUCACAUCUUUUAAUACUAGAGGGGUAUGGCCCGUGCUAGCACGGGCCCAACAUGCAUGGUUUCGAUUUCCUUUUGUCAUUGCAACAAUACAAUAGUAUAAGCAAACUAAACAUAAAGUUAGCAUUAGGAAAAAAAAUCUUGUGCUUGUACAUAAUUGAAUGAAACAUCGAAUUUCUUUACGUGAAAAGAAGUAGAAAGAGAAUUGCAACUGAGUUGCCUAUUACAACCUAUAUUAUCCAGAGUUCGGAGAGCAAAAUCUAACUCAUUCUUAUGCCAACAAUGAUUCAAGUAAAAUCUGCAAAAAGAGAAGAUCAAAUCAAUUUGCAAAUGUCAGAAAAAUGCACAAAUGGAAAAUCUAGUGAAUUACCAAAUAUAAGCAGACACUACCACAUGUCUUUUAAAAGCAAAAACUCUAGUGAAGUGUUUUGAUAACCAAAAAAAAACUCUAGUGAAGUUAUUACAUUAUAAUAAGAUUUAAGUUGUUUAUCCAGAAAAUAAAGAAAGAGUAAGUAACAUUACCUAACAAUCAUUGAUUUCAGAUUUGAUCUCAAAAAAUGAGAUUUUUUUCCGCAGAUGUAGAGCCACAUCGAUGCAACAUGGCAGUACAUCAUAUAUUGAGAUAGAAAAUUGCCUACACUUUCAGUUCAACAUGCAUUUAUGACAAUACAACCUGUUCAUACAUUGAGCAGAAAUAGUUAUAUUCUUUCCACUGAAAUUUUAAUUUAUCUACAAUAUAAUUGCUUUGCUGACUCUGUAAACUCCCCCCCCCCCAACUCCUUUACUCCUUUCAUUGGGUAAUAGCUCCUUUCAACUUUUUCUUUAUGCUAGCGCAGAAGUCCUGUACUAUUAUUUGUGAGUUGAUUUUGAACACACAAAAUCAUGUAAGGAUUUAUGAAAGACGUGAAAAAUGUGUAAAAAGUAAAUGUGCUAAGUACUAACACCAAAUGCAUGGUGCAAUAACAUAAUUAUACAUUCAGAACCUAUUUAAAACAGUGCAGAGGAUAAUCACAUUAAGAGCAACUUACUUGAAAUGAUUUACGAACCAUUGCAACAUGUCUUGAACUGUUGGUUAGGCUCGCCAGCUAAUUUUACAUCCAUUAGCAUGUACCUCUCUCUUUACCAAUUCGGAAAAGUAAAUUUGAUGAGCGUUGUGAAGUCACAAAGUGAACACCAUGUGAAUACUCUCAUUUUCAUACUCGCGGAGACAAAGUGAAAUGGUUCAAGUUGCACCUGUUUUCAGUACAAAAAAGAAUUAGAAAGAAGAAAAGAUUUCAAUGACAUAAGAAAAUAACGCAUUGAGCAUAGCAAAGGAGUGUCGCCUAUCUCCAUAGUACCAGAAAGCAAAAAAAUAAUCAUGUUAUAGAUUGAUAGGAGUUCUGAAGCUGAAGGCGUUUUAAAAUUGAAAUCGUUUAUCUACCCUAUUCUGANNNNNNNNNNNNNNNNNNNNNNNNNNNNNNNNNNNNNNNNNNNNNNNNNNNNNNNNNNNNNNNNNNNNNNNNNNNNNNNNNNNNNCCUUCCAACAGGGGUCUAUUACAAUUUGCAAAAUUGCAGGCUUCUUAAGUUAAACUCUAUUCUAUACUUCUUCUUAAGUUAAACUCUAUUCUAUACUUCUUCUUAAGUUAAACUCUAUUCUAUACUUCUUCUUAAGUUAAACUCUAUUCUAUACUUCUUCUUAAGUUAAACUCUAUUCUAUACUUCUUCUUAAGUUAAACUCUAUUCUAUACUUCUUCUUAAGUUAAACUCUAUUCUAUACUUCUUCUUAAGUUAAACUCUAUUCUAUACUUCUUCUUAAGUUAAACUCUAUUCUAUACUUCCUUCAACAUUCUAUAAUUGGUAUAAUAUUUUUCCUUUCUUUUUUUAACAAAAAAAUUAACAUCAUCCAAGGAUAUUCAAUUAUGGCUAGACCUCUACUGUCCAUUUUAUCUAACAGUAAGAUGAAAAUGAAAGGAUUAAGAAUGCUUUGACAGUUUAAAACUCAGUUUUGAGAUCUACAUAAAUAUAAUCUUUAAAUUUCAUAAUUCAGAAAAGAGAUCAGAUCUUUGAUAUAUUCAAAUAUAUCAAGUGUCAAACCAUAACUUUAAGAAUUAAGAAACAAAACAAAGUAGCUACCUUGGGAAAAAAAUUGCAUGUUGCUGUAUGUAAAGUUGAGUUCUUUCUCCUUCAUAAACACCAAAAAAGAGUAAGCAAAUUUUAGUUUCACAUCUUCAUUGUUGAUGAUGUUUAUAUUUAAAUGUUGCUUCCAAGAAAAAACAGGUAAUACAUUUGUUGGAUCUGUAUUCAGCCUGCAAAAUGUUGAGGGAAAAAAGUUCAAUUUGGUAGAUUUAAAAGCCCAAUCAUUUAUUAACAGAGCAAAAUCAUUUAUUAGAGUAGACAUGCACAAAGGUCCAUAUCAUAUCUUUCCUUGUGAAAGGAAGGUUGAUAUUUGAUAAUGACGAACACAGUCCCUAAAUGUACAUGAGAAAGGAAGGAAUAAAAAAAGAAAAGAAGAUCAAGGAAUUUAAUUGAGAAGGUUCAAUGAGAGAAAGAGAGGAGAAAUUAGGUUCGACAUGAGUAAAUGAAACAACACGUGUCUUCACCGCUACAAACAUACAAUAGAUAUUUCUGAAAGGGCAUUAGUAUACAGGACUUUUCAGAUUUCCUCCAUACAAAGCUAUAGGCUUUUAAUAGAAGAAUAGUUGAACUAAAGUAAUAAAUAAAAAAAAUUGUAAAUAAACCAAGGAUUUUACUCCCUCAAUGGUAGAUGCUUGAACAUUUUAAAUAAACAAAUUAUUUUACCGUCUGACCCUUGACUUUAUAAACUCUAUUAUCAAUGAUAACGCAGACAUAAUAUCUUUGUCAAUAGACAACAAAACAGAUGAAAAAAAAAAGAAAAAUCUCUGAACAGUGAAAAAGGAAACGAUCAAGUUAGAAGAUAAACUUACUGAUGAAGGAAAGAUAAAGGCAUAAGAAAAACAGGAUCUAACCUCUAUUGCUCAAAUCCUGUCCAUUUCACCUUUAAACACAACUUUAGUAGAAUAAUCUUUGAGCAUUUUAGAAAAUCAGUUGAUGUCUCAAUAAUCAUAUCUAGCUAGCCUCUUCAUUUUACUAUGAUAAAAUAUGAGAAACAAAUUUUAAGCUCAAAGACAAAAUCUAAUGCUAAGAGCUCCUAAAUUUAAGUGCAAAUAGUGAACAUCUUAGAAAAGAUAACUAUUAGUGAAGUAAGUAAAAACUUACUGCAUUUAAAAGUAUGUAUUGACAAUACAACCAACUCUUGAAAUGAUUACUAUUUCUAUUUAUCAAUCAACAACGUAUCUAGUACAUCGGAAACAUUGGAGAUCAAUGAAAUUUCUGUAUUAGCCUUUAAGUUUAAUAUCAUAAGUGCAAUUGUUCAAAAAAAAAAAAAAGAACCGCCAUUCACCCAAAAACUAAGAAGGACAUAAGAACUGUAGUCAUAGAGAAAGGAGAACAAAAGAGGAGGCAUAAACUGACGACAACUCAUCCAAACCAUCCCACAAUGAGCCAAUGUAAUGGAGUUGGCGAGGAUUACCUUAGAAGAGGAGAAAAAUGUGUACGUACUCGCAACCCAAUGCCAUUUGUUGGUCGUCAAAAGUCAUUAAUUCUGCAAAAAUACAAGUAAAAUCAUCGAGAUAUAGUAACGGGAUCCAAGUUUUCAACAAUCAAUAGAACGGAGCUCAGCGUCGCAGUUGUGUUAUACUGAGAACAUAUGAAAAGAUUAUAGAAAUGAAGAAGUGGAGUCAGAAGACUAAUUUUUCAAACAAAUUUUGAUCUUACUACUGUCAACAGAGAGAAGAGGAGAAAAAUUAGUAAGCAAAAAUUGAUAUCCUAAUAAAUAGAAUAACAUAAUCAUGUUAACGGGCAAAUGUAUAUAGAACUGGACAACCAAGAAUUAAUAAAUUCAAAUAUUAAAAUUAUAUAAAGUCAAAUGAUCCUAUAAAGGAAUCCUUGACAAUUAUCAAAGUGAGAGCCUAUAACAUCAACCCCAAUAAAUUAGGGUAGGCUUCAGAAUCUUACGGAUCAUGUUACUCCAUUGAACAUCCAAUUCCCUAACUUAUAUAAUCCACAUGCACUGAAAUUGUUCAAUUGUAUAAUUUUGAACAAUUUCAAUCUUAAACCCCUAAUUUCCAUAAACUGUUGUGGGGUGGAAUUUGUGUGCAUAUAUUAAUUUUUUGAUUGCUUGGUAGUGAUAUUGGAGGAGAAUUUCGCUCUAAACCCAAUUUUCAAACUUUGAAUAUAAAUUUCAAACUCCUACACAAAAAUAUAAAGUGAAAGCAUAAGGACAUAAAUAAACAAACAAAAGAAAGAGUGGCAACAUAAGACACCAUCAAUAAAAAAAUUAUACACUUAAAAGAGUGCAGAACAUAGAAACGGCAUAUAGCACUAUAUAUGGACCCGAGAUCCGACACUGAAGUUUAGAAGCUAUAAAAGCAGUAAAGCACAAAGAGAAGGAACCUACUCAUAGUAUAAAGCUCACCGGGCAAAUUAACAAUGGAGGAACUUGCAUUAACAACGUUGGGUUUUCUGCUCUUGUGUUUUUGUGUUGAAGCAUAGUACAGGAAGUACAAGGACCCAAAACAACCCUUGAAUAUUAGAAUCAGGGACUUGAUGAAUAUAAUAAGCCUUAAAGAGAUAAUAGGUCAUAUUAGCCAGAUUGAGAAACAUGUAGAUUUAGCUUAAAUCAUGAAGAAAUAUUUCGGCAAGGCAUCCCAAACAAACAAAAAUCUUGAGGAAACCUUCACAGAGAGAUUUAAAGUGUCUACACAAAGAGAAGACACUCAGCAACACAUGGAUUCGCCAUUGAAGAGUUGAGAUCUACAAAGAAGAGUUGAGAAAAUAGACCAAGCUUAGCAGAGGAGGAGAGAGAAAUCUAUAGAGAAUUGUGAGAUGAUAGUGCAAAACUUGUACAGAAAGUGAAGCAAAAUGAGACACGUGUUUAUUCAUCACUGGAAAAGGGCCAAAUUUACUGUACAAUUAGUACUACCUUUAGUACAAUUAGAAGAUGCAGUGUUCGUCCUUUUACUCCCAUCCUCCUUUAGCCUUCUUUUGUAUAAGUUAGAUAAUAUUUCGUACAAUUUGCUGAAGUCAGAGUCUAAAUGAUUAUAUGUAUGUUGAAAAUGUGAAUACUGAACUGAAAUGCUAUAGAUGAAAGAGUGAUUUUACUUGAUACAGAUUUUUCAAAUCCUCUCGCAAUGUGAUUCAUCCCAACCUUAUAACCCAAGAAGGAAGUCAACUUGCUGGGUUUGGUUCUAUCAUCCUUAGGCAUCGGAAAAAAGAAAAAAAAUAGAUGACGGAUAAGGGAAGACUUAAAAUAUUUACUAAAGAGUAAAAGGUGCAGAAGUUAUGGAGAAGCUAAAUCUCGAAACAAAAGAGUAGAAGGUUGCAAAUGGUAAAUUUUGCAUUUAUGCAGCUUCUGGUAACUAUAAGAUCUUGGAACAUAUUAGAGAACAUACAUAUGUUAAAAUGUGAUAAAUUCAAGAAUGGAAUCCUACUCUAGCUUAUUGUCUUCGUUAAUAUUGUCUCGUAUGAGUACAAAGAAACUUAUGCUAUCAAAUAGUUUCUGGUCAAUAGGUUAACCCUCGACAUACGUGCUUAAUGACCUUUAUUGAUUCAUAAUUGGAGAAAGAAUGUGCAAUUCACUCAUGAAUGUUCUCUUUGUAUACGAAUCCUUGGCAACAAUUGUUUGGCAUAUGGAGGAUGCAAGAAAGCUAUCCUUAUGAUUCAUUACUCUCUAAUACUAUCUCAUGAAUUAAAUCUCAUGAAUUAAAACAGAUUCAUAUAAUGAAAGAUCAAUUCAGUCAAAAUAAUGUACACUUAAUAAAUCAAUAACAGACACAAAGAUAAACAAUCAUCAAUCACUUAAUCACUGGAAGGGUCUAAUAAGGCCACAAUUAAAAGAUGGAAGUAUUUCGUGAAUCAAAUUUGACAAAUUUUACUCCAAAAGAUAGAUCUCAUAUCUUCCGUCAAAGUCGAAGCCUUAAAAGAUUUUGAAAAAAUCUCACCUUUGGAGCAUGAUCAAGAUUCAGGUUCAAAUCUAAAGUUCACACAUAUAGUUACAUAUCUUUUAACAACUACAAGUUCAAAUUAAUCCUGCAGUGUAGCACUUUAAGAUAUUAUUAGGUGAAAAACAGAGCCCUAUCCAAAAAUAAAAAGAUUUAUACUAUUUCAUGAUAUCAAGUACCAAAUAUGAAAAAGGUAUCAAGUGGCACACUUCUAAGUUAGUCUUGAAAGAUUAAAAAACAAAGAAAAAAGGAACAAAUUUCACCUAGUACCUUUGAAUGUUGUUAGGAACCACGCAAGUACCAAACUUUGUCAACAAUCUGCAAAAUUUGCAUAGCUGCAAGUGCAAACCUGCAAAGAGAAUGGAAAAUAUGAAAAGAACUUGAAAAGGCAAAAGAAUAUCACAACACGCAAGAGGAAAAAGAAACAAUUCUUGUUGUAGAGGUCGGCACAAUUCUGACAGAAACUUGAAAUUUGGUACUCAGUUUUCGAAAAAUUUCUUGCGACUACAAGUGCGAUUUGUUCAAAAUUUUCAGAAAACUAAAGAGACGAAAAAAAGGAAAAUGCGAACAACUCUUCGACGAAGCUUCUUGGAGACUAAUUUGACGGAAGAAAAGAGAGAGAAGGAUAAGGAAGAGAAGCCUCGAGAAAUUUGGGGACUGUAAGUGAAAACCAGCUGUCUCCCACAAAGGUAAGAUGCUAUUACGUGUCUGUCAAAACGUGGAAAAUUGGAGGGCAUUGAACUAAAAUACAUACACGUGGCAUUAAACUAAAAAUAGGCCGAACUUUAUUGUACAAUUUAUGCAACUUUUAGUACAACUGCAUAUAGCAGUGUUGG
rnacentral:lncRNA from 1 species